rnacentral:tRNA from 1 species
GUUCCUGUAGUUAAAUUUCAUAACAGCGGCUUUUCAGGCCGUAGGUCUUGGAGAAAAGCCGAGUAGGAAUU